ensembl:lncRNA
GGACGACAAAGGAUGAAAUGGCUGGAUGGCAUCACUGACUCGAUGGACAUGAAUCUGAGUAAACUCUGGGAGUUGGUGAUGGACAGGGAGGCCUGGCAUGCUGCAGUUCAUGGGGUCACAAAGAGUCAGACACAACUGAGCAACUGAACUGAACUGGAUAAUCCAAGAUAAUCUUUAUACCAUAAGAUCUUUUCUCACAUCUGCAUAGAACAUUUUGCCACAUAAGAUAAUGAACCCCAUGAAGGCAGCAAUCAAAUCUAUUCUGGAGCAUGUCCAGCAUCUAGGGGAGAUCCUGGGAAAUGGGAUGCAUUCAGUCUCCCUCAUUGCAGGUGGACUCUUUACCAUCUGAGCCACCAGGGAAGCCUGUGAAUACUGGAGUGAGUAGCUUAUCCCUUCUCCAGGGAAUCUUCAGGCAUGAGUAUAACUGCAGCUUGCCCUCCAUCUCCUAUUGCGGAUGAGCCUUCAGCUCUACGAUCUCCCAGCUCCUCUGCCUCCUCCAGUUGGUGACUCUUCUUGCCUGUUCACUUGAUGCCAGCCCCUGUGUACCAGCUGUUGUCAUGCACUACAGUAUUUUUCAAGGCAGAUUCUUUACCACUGAGCCACCUGGGAAGCCUCCUUGACUACGGGAGCCUGAUAAAAGAAGCUGGAUGCAAGUGUGUACUCUGGGUGGGUAUGGACUAUGAUAUGCGUAUCAGAGUUGUGCUCACAGGUAAGUUGUUUGCUAUCUUUAAAAAUUAGCUAACCCUGGGAGACUCAGUCCUCACUUGGGUCCACAAAGUCCCCAAAUGUCAAACCAUCAUAAAAUAACAGGAAAAGAAAACCCCAUGAUUAAGUCACAACCUCCUGAGGUAAAAAUUGUUAUGCAAAAUUUCAGAUGAACAUGGAGGUCUGGAGAGGUUAAGUAACUUUCUCAAGGGAACACAACUAGUAAAUGGUCAAGCUGGAUUCCAACCAGAUGGUAU